rnacentral:rRNA from 1 species
AGCGAACGCUGGCGGCAGGCCUAACACAUGCAAGUCGAACGGACCCUUCGGGGUUAGUGGCGGACGGGUGAGUAACACGUGGGAACGUGCCUUUAGGUUCGGAAUAGCUCCUGGAAACGGGUGGUAAUGCCGAAUGUGCCCUUCGGGGGAAAGAUUUAUCGCCUUUAGAGCGGCCCGCGUCUGAUUAGCUAGUUGGUGGGGUAAUGGCCCACCAAGGCUACGAUCAGUAGCUGGUCUGAGAGGAUGACCAGCCACAUUGGGACUGAGACACGGCCCAAACUCCUACGGGAGGCAGCAGUGGGGAAUCUUGCGCAAUGGGCGAAAGCCUGACGCAGCCAUGCCGCGUGUAUGAUGAAGGUCUUAGGAUUGUAAAAUACUUUCACCAGUGAAGAUAAUGACUGUAGCCGGAGAAGAAGCCCCGGCUAACUUACGUGCCAGCAGCCGCGGUAAU